ACACAUGCAGUCGAGCGGCAGCACAGAGGAACUUGUUCCUUGGGUGGCGAGCGGCGGACGGGUGAGUAAUGCCUAGGAAAUUGCCCUGAUGUGGGGGAUAACCAUUGGAAACGAUGGCUAAUACCGCAUGAUGCCUACGGGCCAAAGAGGGGGACCUUCGGGCCUCUCGCGUCAGGAUAUGCCUAGGUGGGAUUAGCUAGUUGGUGAGGUAAUGGCUCACCAAGGCGACGAUCCCUAGCUGGUCUGAGAGGAUGAUCAGCCACACUGGAACUGAGACACGGUCCAGACUCCUACGGGAGGCAGCAGUGGGGAAUAUUGCACAAUGGGCGCAAGCCUGAUGCAGCCAUGCCGCGUGUAUGAAGAAGGCCUUCGGGUUGUAAAGUACUUUCAGUCGUGAGGAAGGUGGUGUUGUUAAUAGCAGCAUCAUUUGACGUUAGCGACAGAAGAAGCACCGGCUAACUCCGUGCCAGCAGCCGCGGUAAUACGGAGGGUGCGAGCGUUAAUCGGAAUUACUGGGCGUAAAGCGCAUGCAGGUGGUGGAUUAAGUCAGAUGUGAAAGCCCGGGGCUCAACCUCGGAACCGCAUUUGAAACUGGUUCACUAGAGUACUGUAGAGGGGGGUAGAAUUUCAUGUGUAGCGGUGAAAUGCGUAGAGAUCUGA
rnacentral:rRNA from 1 species